rnacentral:rRNA from 1 species
UACGAAGGGGGCAAGCGUUGUUCGGAAUUACUGGGCGUAAAGGGCGCGUAGGCGGCUUAUCAAGUCAGGCGUGAAAUUCCCGGGCUCAACCUGGGGGCUGCGCUUGAUACUGAUGAGCUUGAAUGCGGGAGAGGAUAGUGGAAUUCCCAGUGUAGAGGUGAAAUUCGUAGAUAUUGGGAAGAACACCUAUGGCGAAGGCAGCUCUCUGGGACGGUACUGACGCUGAGACGCGAAAGCGUGGGGAGCGAACAGG